UACGGGGGGGGGCAAGCGUUGUUCGGAAUUACUGGGCGUAAAGGGCUCGUAGGCGGCCAACUAAGUCAGACGUGAAAUCCCUCGGCUUAACCGGGGAACUGCGUCUGAUACUGGAUGGCUCGAGUUUGGGAGAGGGAUGCGGAAUUCCAGGUGUAGCGGUGAAAUGCGUAGAUAUCUGGAGGAACACCGGUGGCGAAGGGCGGCAUCCUGGACCAACACGUGACGCUGAGGAGCGAAAAGCCAGGGGAGCAAACGGGG
rnacentral:rRNA from 1 species